AACUCAGUCUUAUCUACCACCCAUGGCAACAGCAGCAGCAAUGGCAAGCACUUACAUAGGCCUUAUUGUGUACAAGGCACCACUCUAAGCAUUUCACAUAUAUCAUCAUUAUUAUUACACUAGCUCUAGUCUAUAGGUGAGGCUACCGAAGCACAAGCGGGGAAAUGACUCCACCAAGAUCGCAGUGUACUCCUCCAGAAGUGGGAAAUCGGAACAUCCUAUGCUGACUUCUCAGAGCACAAUGCUUCUGCUCAUCUCUUCUUGGAGACAAGAUUAAUAUUAUUAACAUCAGUAUCCUAGCCAUCCAGAUGCCUCUACCUUAGACCUUCCAGUGUCCCCUCCUGUUUGGCCAGAUCCUGGAAAAAGGGGGAAGAAAGAACCACCCUAUGAGAAGAAAAAUGAUGAUUGUGUAGGGACUGAGUUGUUUGGCAGAGGAGGAAGCAGAGCUCGGCAGGAGGCAACCAAGACACAGAAAUUCAUCCUCAGCCUGUGGUGGAAGUUGCGAAGCCUGUCACUGAUGGCACGAGCUGCAGGUCUCAUCCCCGGAGCCUGGAACUGCUUGGAAACGGUAGUGAGGCAGCCAGAAAAGAUGCCGGUAGCUCACCACAAAGACAAAAAAAGGAUUUUGCCAGUUGGUGCGGCUGCUGACGAGAGACCUGACACCUUUUACAGCACAGGGAAUAAUAGGAAGUGGGGCAGAGUCUGCACCUGCCCUUCAUGGUGUCAGGGCUCAUGGAGGAGACUCCCUAAUGACCUGUCUGGACCAGGGGCAGCCACAGGGUAACCUGCUCCCAGGGACAAGCCAGUGUGACUCACCUGGUGUGAUGGACUGAGAGGGAUCUGUAGACACCACGCAUUCCUCUCAGCUUUCUUUCGUCUAUAGUCCUUACUGCAGACUCUGCUUAUAUGGCAUGGUAUAUAUUUGACUGGUUCACUUGUCAUCUGCCUCCCCACACCGUCCUGGACAAUCCAUAAGAGCAGGCUUUGGGUGCCUUUUGCGUCAGUGAUGGCACAUAGGGUGGAUACUCAAUAAAUACAUUUGGGAUGUACAAUUAAAUUAAUGAAUGGGAGAUACCUCUAACAGUAAGACAGUAGAAAUCACAUUUUUGAGCAAAACAUAGUUAAGUAUUGCAUACUCUUUGAUCACUUUACUAACUCACUAGUAUCUGGUGAGAAAGAAAAGAGCCACCUAAAUACAGGGGGGAAAAGCCAGAAAUCCAGAUCAUAACAAUGUUUUCCAGGGCUCGAAGACAGUAACCAAAUUCAGCUUUUACCCUGAACGUUGAAGAGACCUUUUGCUUCACAGAGCACUGCUUCUAGGAACACAAGGAAUUGGGUAGCACCGUCUCUGCUUCCAAGGAGUCAUAGCUGGGGACUUUUUUUUUUUUAAGAUUUUAUUCAUUUAUUUGAAAGAGAGAGAGCACAAGCAGAGGGAGUAACAGGCAGAGGGAGAGGGAGAAUCAGGCUCCCCAUUGUGCAGGGAGCCCAAAGCAAGGCUAGACCCCAGAACCCUGGGAUCAUGACCUGAGCCGAAGUCGGAUGCUUAACUGAGCCACCCAGGCGCCCGGGAGUUUCCUUUCUACGUCAAACAAGAUAGAUACGCUUGAUUAUCAGCACUAAAAUCCAAAGAUCCAUAGCUGAUUGGUUCUAAGACACAUUUUUGUUUUCUACUUUAUAAUAUCUGAAAUUAUGUUGCAUUUUACCAACACAGGAUCUUACAAACCCAGGAGUGAGAGGGCUAGCAGUGCCCGUGACCUCGUUAUCAUUCUCCAGGCUCUGGAGAAGUGCUCUUGGCUAUGUGUAUCAUUGCUACUUCAUUGGUUAUUGGUAAUUCUUCAUGCACCAACAGUACAUUGUGAUUUGGCUUUGAAACUAAAGGUUAUUGCGUAUACACAGAAAGGGGCAGAGGCAGAACAGGGCAUACAUUUGAUAAUAUUGAAGCAAAUGUUUGAUAUUGGCAGAAUGACCACAAUUCUUGAUUUUCCAGCAAAGCAAUACCAUGUGCUUUAUAAGACAUAAGGAAGGAAGAUGCCAACGGGAGAUGAAGCUUUGUUACAUUAGUUCAUUGAUGUGUGCCCCCAAAUCGACAUACACAGAACAGGAGGUGCCAUUUUCAAAUUUUGCAGAAGGGUUUUCACAGCUUAGAAGAAAAUCCCAGAAGAAAAUCUCUUCAGAAAUUCUGUAUCCCACUUAUCCUGAUGGUGUAGAAGCUGUCAUUUUGUGGAAAAACAUAGAUAUUGAUUACUCUGAGUUGAAAACAAUUUUUAAAAGUCAAAUUCUCAAUGUGUAAUGGUUAGGAAUUCCCUAACCAAACUAUUUGACUUACAUUUUUCUUUUUGAUGUAUGCACCUCAGUAAUAUUAAAAAAAAAUUCUAGGGGUUCCUGGAUGGCUCAGGGGUUGAGCAUCUGCCUUU